ACAUGGGGUGCAAACGUUGCUCGGAAUUAUUGGGCGUAAAGCGCGCGUAGGCGGUUACUUAAGUCGGAUGUGAAAGCCCUUGGCUUAACCGAGGAAGUGCAUCCGAGACUGAAUAGCUAGAGUACGAAAGAGGGUCGCGGAAUUCCCGGUGUAGAGGUGAAAUUCGUAGAUAUCGGGAGGAACACCGGCGGCGAAGGCGGCGACCUGGUUCGAGACUGACGCUGAGGCGCGAAAGCGUGGGGAGCAAACAGGAUUAGAUACCCUGGUAGUCCACGCCGUAAACGAUGGAUGCUAGAUGUUUCUGGUAUUGACCCCGGAGGCGUCGUAGCUAACGCGUUAAGCAUCCCGCCUGGGGAGUACGGCCGCAAGGCUA
rnacentral:rRNA from 1 species